rnacentral:rRNA from 1 species
AGCAGCCGCGGUAAUUCCAGCUCCAAUAGCGUAUAUUAAAGUUGUUGCAGUUAAAAAGCUCGUAGUUGAAUUUCGGGAUCAAUAUAUUGGUCAUGCUUAGGUAUGUACUGGUAUUAUUGAUUUCUCCCUUCUGAAGAACCAUGAUGUCAUUAAUUUGAUGUCGUGGGGAAUCAGGACUGUUACUUUGAAAAAAUUAGAGUGUUUAAAGCAGGCUUUCGCUUGAAUACAUUAGCAUGGAAUAAUGAAAUAGGACGUUUGAUUCUAUUUUGUUGGUUUCUAGGAUCGACGUAAUGAUUAAUAGGGAUAGUUGGGGGCAUUAGUAUUCAAUUGUCAGAGGUGAAAUUCUUGGAUUUAUUGAAGACUAACUACUGCGAAAGCAUUUGCCAAGGAUGUUUUCAUUAAUCAAGAACGAAAGUUAGGGGAUCGAAGACGAUCAGAUACCGUCGUAGUCUUAACCAUAAACUAUGCCGACUAGGGAUCGGAUGAUGUUAAUUUUUAAUGACUCAUUC